UCCUAGCCCUGAUAGCAGUGAAAAUCCUUUUUAAUAGUUUAGGCUGGAAGCCUUUCGAAGGCUUCCAGCCUAAACUAUUAAAAAGAUUGCAACGCAUAGCAGGAAACAGC
rfam:Flavobacterium fryxellicola strain DSM 16209 FBFR44, whole genome shotgun sequence.